rnacentral:lncRNA from 1 species
AGUUCGAACUGAAUCAUGGAGCACAUAUCUUGUUGGAAAUGAAACCUGUCUCUGUGCAACUGCUGUCUUUCUAAUUUUCUCUUGCUUGUUGCUCUCUGUUGGGUUGGGUACGAUAUUGAGGUGGAGACGAGUUGAUUUGCCAUGAUUUACCAGGAGCCUCGGAUGAAUCGUACUUGUUUGCAGGCUAAUUUGUAAUGUGAAAAAAACGCCACAGGGACUGAACAAGCAUUUGCUCUGUUUCUGCUAAUUGAUCUGAAUUCUGGGUGUACAAAUUUGUUGUCUGACUUUUAAUGGAUAACUACUAACUGCUAUGUGUUUCAGGUUAACUUCUAACUAGUAUCAGUUAAUCAGGAUCAUCAUUUUUUGGGUCUAUUUCUGUUAAUUUGUAGUUACGAUAACCUUUUAAUUGCUUGAACUGUGCUUCCAACUGUGGAAUUAACAAUACAGAUAAACGAUGCCCUCUUUGGCAGUGAGAACAACUUCAUCCUUCGGUUGAAUUAAUAAAGAGGUGC